CCUACGAGCGGCUGCAGUGGGGAAUAUUGGGCAAUGGGCGCAAGCCUGACCCAGCAACGCCGCGUGAAGGAAGAAGGCUUUCGGGUUGUAAACUUCUUUUCUCAGGGACGAAGAAAGUGACGGUACCUGAGGAAUAAGCCACGGCUAACUACGUGCCAGCAGCCGCGGUAAUACGUAGGUGGCAAGCGUUAUCCGGAUUUACUGGGUGUAAAGGGGGUGUGGGCGGGGAAGCAAGUCAGAUGUGAAAACCACGGGCUCAACCUGUGGCCUGCAUUUGAAACUGUUUUUGUUGAGUACUGGAGAGGCAGACGGAAUUCCUAGUGUAGCGGUGAAAUGCGUAGAUAUUAGGAGGAACACCAGUGGCGAAGGCGGUCUGCUGGACAGCAACUGACGCUGAGGCGCGAAAGCGUGGGGAGCAAACAGGAUUAGAUACCCGUGUAGUC
rnacentral:rRNA from 1 species